rnacentral:lncRNA from 1 species
AAGAGAUGAGAAUAGUAAUAUUAUAUUAUUGAUAUAAUGAUUUUACGGUACCAUAAUUAUGUACUGUGUAUGUGCAGACAGAUAAUAUUGAGCAAUGACAGUCAAUUAGGUCAUAGCAUAUUACCGUGCUGUGAAACCCUAAUUAUUAAACUCAGUUAUGAGAUAUGAAUGAGUAGUGACUGUGUAUAUGAAGUUAUUGUGUAUAAGAAUGUCGGUAAUUAGAAGGAAACCCUAAUUACUGUUGUACGUUGAUAAUUAGGACAAACCCUAAUUAUUAUAACCCUAAUCGGUUGAAGUUAGAGACUGUAACGACUGUGUUAGAACACACACAGAUAAUUAGAGAACCCUAAUGGUCAAUUAAAAACCCUAAUUGAUGGUGUUAAGAAACCCUAAUUUUAAAACCGUAAUUUUUCAAUCAAAAACCCUAAUUUAAAAUUAUUGGGUUUAAUUACGAUGUUAAUGUAUAAAUGUUUUAAUUUACCAAAGGAUGAAAAGUAAUUGGUAAAUGAUAAGAAUUACCAUCUAGUGAUUAAAUACUACAUUUAAUUGCUAUGUACAAAAAUGUCGAUUAAAUUAUAUGUG